rnacentral:rRNA from 1 species
UACGUAGGGAGCAAGCGUUGUCCGGAAUCAUUGGGCGUAAAGCGCGCGUAGGUGGCCAUGUAAGUCCGCUGUGAAAGUCAAAGGCUCAACCUUUGAAAGCCGGUGGAUACUGCAUGGCUAGAGCACGGAAGAGGCGAGUGGAAUUCCUGGUGUAGCGGUGGAAUGCGCAGAUAUCAGGAGGAACACCAAUAGCGAAGGCAGCUCGCUGGGACGUCACUGACACUGAGGCGCGAAAGCGUGGGGAGCGAACAGG